AACGAACGCUGGCGGUAUGCUUAAUCCAUGCAAGUCGAACGGAAAUAUUUUGAAGCUUGCUUUGAAAUAUUUUAGUGGCAAACGGGUGAGUAACACGUGGGAAUCUACCUAUCAGUACGGAAUAACUUUCGGAAACGAAUGCUAAUACCGUAUAUUCUCUAAGGAGGAAAGAUUUAUCGCUGAUAGAUGAGCCCGCGCAAGAUUAGGUAGUUGGUAGGGUAAAGGCCUACCAAGCCUACGAUCUUUAGCUGGUCUGAGAGGAUGAUCAGCCACACUGGGACUGAGACACGGCCCAGACUCCUACGGGAGGCAGCAGUGGGGAAUCUUGCGCAAUGGGGGCAACCCUGACGCAGCCAUGCCGCGUGAACGAUGAAGGCCUUAGGGUUGUAAAGUUCUUUUACCCGUGACGAUGAUGACGGUAACGGGGGAAUAAGCUCCGGCUAACUUCGUGCCAGCAGCCGCGGUAAAGUCUGUACU
rnacentral:rRNA from 1 species